rnacentral:ncRNA from 2 species
GUUUCGAGUAGAGGUGCAUGAUCGAUAAGUAUAACCACUGAAGAGUUUGGGCUCUUAUGAUGUGGUUAGAAAGGCGUGAUUGCCGAAAUAAGCAUGAACCCACAGUUAUGCUUAUUGGGGCUGAUUCUAAAAAAGAUCAGCACUGUCAUACAUUCGUAUGGUGGGCUAUCUCAACC